CCCCCACAUAUUAAUAUUCCUGGGCUCCUGGCUCCGUCCCUGGUAUGGGUAUGCGCUUGAGAAUAAUCAAAGUACAUCAAUCACGUGGCCAGAAGGUCAUUUCCAACUGACCUCUCUCUCUAACCCACACUCUCUAUGAAACUCCAUCUCAUCUCUCUCUAAACCUCGACCUACCUCCAUCGUCUGGAAAAUGAUUCCAACGGUGGCUCCACCUUGAACCACCCUUCAAUCCUCAUGUUUUCUAGGUUUUCGAUUGAAGUUCAACUGGAACCUUCAAUCAAACAUAAAAUCGCCCCUCUAACCAUCGUAGGCCCUCACCAGUGACCACCCGCCACCAUCAAAACCCAUAUAUCCCAUAAACAUUUGUAAAUUACCUCAAACUUUCCUCUAAACCACAGAUCGGCCCCCUAGUUACUGAUUCAGACUCUCCAGACCCUAAACACAAACUUUUGGCAAACCCUAAACCGAACCCAAACAAACCCUUAUCCAUUCAUCCACAGUCAUAUGCAAAAACAAAAACAUAAGCAAACAUACACCAAUCAGCAAGACAUAAAAAAGGGUUUAACAUUAGUGGUACGAGCCUACGGGAAGGAGGACUUUCUCGAUCACAAAGGUAAAGUCUCUUCUCAUUUUUUGGUUAUGAAUUCUUCUCUCUUUUUUUCUGCUCUUGCUCCUUCUAACUCCUUUUCUUCAAAGUCUGGAUUAACAGAGCUAAUGCUCAAGUCAAUUAGGGUUUCAACGUGAAACCCUAAAUAUCUUAAUCGGAUCAUUGAUUGUUCUGUUUGGGAUUUUGCAGUGAUCUAGUGUUCUCUCUCUUUCAAGUUUAGUUUUAGGUUUUUAUAGCAUUAGGGGUUGAUUCUGAUUAGGAAAAUAUUUUAGGGCAAAUUGAUUAAGAAUGCAACAAUCCAUUGAUUGCAUGUAUCUGGUCCAAUGUCUAUGUAAAUCCUAAUUUUUUAUGAUGUAUCAGUAAUAUGUUUUUAGAAAGUUUUGAUAUGUAUUUUUUCAUUACUUCUUCAUUUUGAUUUAC
rnacentral:lncRNA from 1 species